AGAGUGAGAUGUGGAAAGCACAGAGUGUUGCACAUGUAAAAGGCUAACCAUCCGGAGAAAAAAGACAUAAUACAGUAAUGUGAAUGUCAGUAAAGUGAAUAGCAAGGAGCAGACAUAGAGGAGUCCAGGAUAUGACCAUCACAUUCUGAACACAGCAUACCCAGCAAUUCUUCUAAAACCAUUUGUGAUUUGAUACGCAAUUACAUAGGAGAAAAGUUACACAACUUCACUAGUAUGGAUUUCUUUGAAGAAACAUUCCACUACAUGCAGUCCUUUUCUGAGAUAUAGCACAGUAUCCUUUUCACCCAUGAGGGCCCCAAAAUCCAGAACAGUGCUGAGACUUUUCAGACUGUGGGUAGACUCCAGCAAAAGCA